AGAUUGAACGCUGGCGGCAGGCCUAACACAUGCAAGUCGAGCGCGAAAGUUCCUUCGGGAAUGAGUAGAGCGGCGGACGGGUGAGUAACGCGUAGGAAUUUGCCCAGUAGUGGGGGACAACUCGGGGAAACUCGAGCUAAUACCGCAUACGCCCCAAGGGGGAAAGCAGGGGAUCUUCGGACCUUGCGCUAUUGGAUAAGCCUGCGUCGGAUUAGCUAGUUGGUGGGGUAAGGCCUACCAAGGCAACGAUCCGUAGCUGGUCUGAGAGGAUGAUCAGCCACACUGGGACUGAGACACGGCCCAGACUCCUACGGGAGGCAGCAGUGGGGAAUAUUGGACAAUGGGGGCAACCCUGAUCAGCCAUGCCGCGUGUGUGAA
rnacentral:rRNA from 1 species